UUAACACAUGCAAGUCGAGCGGGCGUAGCAAUACGUCAGCGGCAGACGGGUGAGUAACGCGUGGGAACAUACCUUUUGGUUCGGAACAACACAGGGAAACUUGUGCUAAUACCGGAUAAGCCCUUACGGGGAAAGAUUUAUCGCCGAAAGAUUGGCCCGCGUCUGAUUAGCUAGUUGGUGAGGUAACGGCUCACCAAGGCGACGAUCAGUAGCUGGUCUGAGAGGAUGAUCAGCCACAUUGGGACUGAGACACGGCCCAAACUCCUACGGGAGGCAGCAGUGGGGAAUAUUGGACAAUGGGCGCAAGCCUGAUCCAGCCAUGCCGCGUGAGUGAUGAAGGCCCUAGGGUUGUAAAGCUCUUUUGUGCGGGAAGAUAAUGACGGUACCGCAAGAAUAAGCCCCGGCUAACUUCGUGCCAGCAGCCGCGGUAAUACGAAGGGGGCUAGCGUUGCUCGGAAUCACUGGGCGUAAAGGGUGCGUAGGCGGGUCUUUAAGUCAGGGGUGAAAUCCUGGAGCUCAACUUCAGAACUGCCUUUGAUACUGAAGAUCUUGAGUUCGGGAGAAGUGAGUGGAACUGCGAGUGUAGAGGUGAAAUUCGUAGAUAUUCGCAAGAACACCAGUGGCGAAAGCGG
rnacentral:rRNA from 1 species